UGGGGAAUUUUUGACAAUGGGCGAAAGCCUGAUCCAGCAAUGCCGCGUGUGUGAAGAAGGCCUUCGGGUUGUAAAGCACUUUUGUCCGGAAAGAAAUGGCUCUGGUUAAUACCUGGGGUCGAUGACGGUACCGGAAGAAUAAGGACCGGCUAACUACGUGCCAGCAGCCGCGGUAAUACGUAGGGUCCAAGCGUUAAUCGGAAUUACUGGGCGUAAAGCGUGCGCAGGCGGUUGUGCAAGACCGAUGUGAAAUCCCCGAGCUUAACUUGGGAAUUGCAUUGGUGACUGCACGGCUAGAGUGUGUCAGAGGGGGGUAGAAUUCCACGUGUAGCAGUGAAAUGCGUAGAGAUGUGGAGGAAUACCGAUGGCGAAGGCAGCCCCCUGGGAUAACACUGACGCGCAUGCACGAAAGCGUGGGGAGCAAACAGG
rnacentral:rRNA from 1 species